CAGGAACAUAAUUGAGACUCUCUGAACUCUGAGAAAGACUUGAGAGGACACUCCUGCAACAACUGUGGCAAUUCCAUGCAGUUAUAGCAGCAUCUGCAGCGGCGGUUCUCUCUAGUCUUUCUUGGACUUUGGAUGGCUUCUUCUGCAACAUC
rnacentral:pre_miRNA from 1 species